UGACAGUUCAUGUCCAGCCUCUCAUCAGCCAGCAUCCCCAAGUCCUGCUCGGCAGGGCUGCUCUCAGUUUGUUCAUGCCCUAGCCUGUAUUGAUACCGG